rnacentral:rRNA from 1 species
CGGUGACCCGCCUUCGGGUGGUGAUCAGUGCGAACGGGUGAGUAACACGUGGGUAACCUGCCCCUCACUCUGGGAUAACUCCGGGAAACCGGGGCUAAUACCGGAUACGAGCCCGGUCCGCAUGGACCGGGUUGGAAAGUUUUUCGGUGAGGGAUGGACCCGCGGCCUAUCAGCUUGUCGGUGGGGUAACGGCCUACCGAGGCUUUGACGGGUAGCUGGUCUGAGAGGACGACCAGCCACACGGGGACUGAGACACGGCCCCG